CCUGAUGGCAGGCCGGGGGGGGUGGGCGCUCACGCAUCCCGGGCACACGCCCAUCAUGUGGCCGCCCUCAUGGGAGGGGCUCCGAGGAUGACUUUAAAGAUGCAGAGAAAGGCUCCAUUCUUCCCAGGACCUCAGUCCAACCCUGGCCCAGGGAAGCAGGAGGCAGGCAGAGGUCUCAGAGGCCAGGAGGGGCCAGAGGUAUGCAGAUGUCCUGGGGACCUGAGCGGCCUCUAGGGAAGAGGCAAGGAGGGAGCUGAGGACCAGGUUUGUCCGCAUUGGUUGUGAGAUGCCCUGAGGUCAGAGGGUUCAUGCUAGGAAGUGUCGACUGGCUCGGACAUGCCCAAGCUGGCCGGUCCAGGAGGGAGAGGGUGAGUGUGAGGGCAGAUCUGGGGGGUGCCCAGAUGGAAUGAGGCAGGCAUGGGGGACACCCAAGGCUCCCCAGCAGCACCAUGAGCUGAGCAGGACACCUGCAGGGGGAGAACUGUGGGGACCUGGGAGCCUCCAACGACCCCUUCCUGCUUCCUGGACGGGACUAUGCCUAUGCAGGGAGCUCAGAGGAAACUCCUGGGGUCCCUCAACUCCACCCCCACAGCCACCUCCAACCUGGGGCUGGCUGCUAACCACACAGGAGCCCCAUGCCUGGAGGUGUCCAUCCCCGACGGGCUCUUCCUCAGCCUGGGGCUGGUGAGCUUGGUGGAGAAUGUGCUGGUCGUGGCCACCAUCGCUAAGAACCGCAACCUGCACUCGCCCAUGUACUGCUUCAUCUGCUGCCUGGCCCUAUCGGACCUGCUGGUGAGCGGCAGCAACAUGCUGGAGACGGCCGUCGUCGUCCUGCUGGAGGCUGGCGCGCUGGCGACCCAGGCCUCGGUGGUCCAGCAGCUGCACAACACCAUCGACGUGCUCACCUAUAGCGCCAUGCUGUGCAGCCUCUGCUUCGUGGGCGCCAUCGCUGUGGACCGUUACAUCUCCAUCUUCUACGCGCUGCGCUACCACAGCAUCAUGACGCUGCCGCGGGUGCAGAGAGUGAUCGCGGCCAUCUGGGUGGCCAGUGUCCUCUCCAGCACACUCUUCAUCACCUACUACGAACACGCAGUCGCCCUGCUGUGCCUUGUGGUCUUCCUGACCAUGCUAGUGCUCAUGGCUGUGCUGUACGUCCACAUGCUGGCCCGGGCCUGCCAGCAUGCCCAGGGCAUCACCCGGCUCCACAAGAGACAGCCGCCAGCCCACCAGGGCUUUGGCCUCAGAGGUGCUGCCACCCUCACCAUCCUGCUGGGCAUCUUCUUCCUCUGCUGGGGCCCCUUCUUCCUGCAUCUCACACUGGUCGUCUUCUGCCCUCAGCACCUGACCUGCAGCUGUAUCUUCAAGAACUUCAAGGUCUUUCUGACCCUCAUCAUCUGCAACACCAUCAUCAACCCCCUCAUCUACGCUUUCCGCAGCCAGGAGCUCUGCAGGACGCUCAAGGAGGUGCUGCUGUGCUCCUGGUGCACACGGCACAGGACCUGUGCCCUCGUCAGCUGGGAUGUGAAGUCUCUGGGUGGAAAUGUGUGCCAAGAGCCUCUGAGAGGGAGUGCUGCUCCCACCACAGUCCCAGGAGAAGGGGCUUUGUGACCAGCUUAGCCACAGCCAUGCAACAGCUCCUGCAGCAGGAAUUCUGGGAAGUCAUCAGUGAUGAGCAUGGCAUAGACCCCAGUGGCAACUACGUGGGUGACUCCGACUUGCAGCUGGAGCGGAUCAGCGUCUACUACAAUGAGGCAUCUUCUCACAAGUAUGUGCCUCGGGCCAUCCUGGUGGACCUGGAGCCCGGGACCAUGGACAGUGUCCGCUCUGGGGCCUUCGGACAUCUUUUCAGGCCUGACAACUUCAUCUUCGGUCAGAGUGGGGCCGGCAACAACUGGGCCAAGGGCCACUACACGGAGGGCGCGGAGCUGGUGGAUUCGGUCCUGGACGUCGUGCGGAAGGAGUGUGAAAACUGCGACUGUCUGCAGGGCUUCCAGCUGACCCACUCGCUGGGGGGCGGCACGGGGUCCGGGAUGGGCACGUUGCUCAUUAGCAAGGUGCGUGAGGAGUACCCUGACCGCAUCAUGAACACCUUCAGCGUGGUGCCCUCGCCCAAAGUGUCUGACACGGUGGUGGAGCCCUACAACGCCACGCUGUCCAUCCACCAGCUGGUGGAGAACACGGAUGAGACCUACUGCAUUGACAACGAGGCGCUCUACGACAUCUGCUUCCGCACCCUCAAGCUGGCCACGCCCACCUACGGGGACCUCAACCACCUGGUGUCGGCCACCAUGAGCGGGGUGACCACCUCACUGCGCUUCCCAGGCCAGCUCAACGCCGACCUGCGCAAGCUGGCGGUGAACAUGGUGCCCUUCCCCCGCCUGCACUUCUUCAUGCCCGGCUUCGCGCCCCUCACGGCCCGGGGCAGCCAGCAGUACCGGGCCCUGACCGUGCCCGAGCUCACCCAGCAGAUGUUUGACGCCAAGAACAUGAUGGCCGCCUGCGACCCGCGCCACGGCCGCUACCUGACCGUGGCCACUGUGUUCCGGGGCCGCAUGUCCAUGAAGGAGGUGGACGAGCAGAUGCUGGCCAUCCAGAGCAAGAACAGCAGCUACUUCGUGGAGUGGAUCCCCAACAACGUGAAGGUGGCCGUGUGCGACAUCCCACCCCGCGGCCUCAAGAUGUCCUCCACCUUCAUCGGCAACAGCACCGCCAUCCAGGAGCUGUUCAAGCGCAUCUCCGAGCAGUUCACGGCCAUGUUCCGGCGCAAGGCCUUCCUGCACUGGUACACGGGCGAGGGCAUGGACGAGAUGGAGUUCACCGAGGCCGAGAGCAACAUGAACGACCUGGUGUCCGAGUACCAGCAGUACCAGGACGCCACGGCCGAGGAGGAGGGCGAGAUGUACGAAGACGAGGACGAGGAGUCGGAGGCCCAGGGCCCGAAGUGAAGCUGCUUGCGGCUGGCGUGAGGGGCAGGCAGCGGCCUGGGCCAAGGCCAGCAGUGCCUGACCCCCAGAGCCAUCUUGCUGCCACCACCGUCCCCUGCUACCCCCCACCCUCGGGCUCCUGCGCGCCUCCUGCAGUAUUUACGGCCUCAUCUUCCCCACCCAGGCCACCUGCGUGCUGCUCCUGUCUCUGUCUUAUUGCAGCUCCUGGCCUGAUGUUUUAUGGUUUUGUUUUUUACUGGUUUGCGUUUAUAUUUUUGGGGAUACUUAAUAAAUCUAUUGCUGUCAGAUAC